UCACCAUUUGUACAGUGCCCUUGGAGGCCAGAAGAGGAUGUUACACCUUCUGGUACUGAAGUUAUAGACAGUAGUGAGCCAGCAUGUGGGUACUAGGACCUGAACCAGGGUCCUCUGUAGAACAAAGGCUCUUCUUAACUGCUAGGCCAUCAUCAUUCCAGCCAUAUUUCUUGCUUGUUUUUUUUAUAUAUAGUCUCACUGUGUAGCAUAAGCUGGCCCUGAACUUGCCAUUCUUCUGCCUCAGCCUUGUUAGUGCUGUGAUUACAGACAUGUGCCACCAUGCCUAGCUUUCAAAAAUAUCUUUACAAGAGUAAAAGAACCACAAACCAAGCUACUGCUCACUUGCUCUCUCUUACACACACACACACACACACACACACACCAACUGUGUAAGCCACCCUGCCCAAGUAUCUGUAACAGCGUAGAAUAAAGCCUAAUUCUAAUUCCCAAUCCUGGCCUGUCUGUAAAACAUCCACAGAGAUGGUUAAGAUUCCAGACCCUGCCGGGCGGUGGUGGCGCACUCCUUUAAUCCCAGCACUCGGGAGGCAGAGGCAGGUGGAUCUCUGUGAGUUUGAGGACAGCCUGGUCUACAGAGUGAGUUCCAGGACAGGCACCAAAAGGAGAGAGCUUGGCUGCUGAAGGGCUUGCCAUGUAAGCACAGAAUGGUGGCACAUGCCUACAAUCCCUGCACUGGGGAGGUGGGACAGGAGGAUCCUGGAGGCUCAAUGACUGGCCAGCCUAGCCUAACCAGCAAGCUCCAGGUUCAGUAAGAGACACUAUUUCAAAGCACAGAAUGGAAAGGCAAUUGGGGAAGACACUUAACAUCAACCUCUGCUUCCACACACCUGCACACACACAAAUACAGAUUCUCACUCUACAACUCAAACUAGGGCUAAUGAUGUGUGUUUGUGAGAGAAAGGUGAGAAAGCCUGCGUGUCUGUAUGACAGGAUGGCAGCCAAGGGAGAGAAACACUGGCCAUUCAACCAAUCUCUACAAAAAGUGAGUUCCAGGACAGCCAGAGCUGUUACACACAGAAAACCUGUCUUGAAAAACAAAAACAAAAAAAAAUAUCAAGAAGGAAAAAAAGGUCAAGAAUCAAUUUUUUUUCUGAGGCACAAACAGGAUUAAACACAAUACUUGUGCUACUUACAUUAGCAACUGGAGAAUUUUGACUUUGACAGUAUUAACAAUUUAUAUAGGAACAAAUUGUGCAUGGAAAGAAAAUGGCUACUUUAUAAUUGUAUAUGAAUGUAUAGGGCCAAUCAUUAUGAUAAAGCCCAUAGCUUACACAGGGCAUGACAAGUGGUUAAAGGUGAUUUCUAGCUAUAGAAAAAUUACACCUAAGAUGGCAGGUGUCAAGGAACAAAUUUCUGCAAAGAUGAGAAAGCACAGUUACAUGGCCAUGUCUGCUGUGUCUUUUAAUUUGAUUUUUAAACAGGAUCUCACUGUGUAGCCCAGGCCAGUCCUGAAUAAGGUCCUCUAGAGUGCUGGGAUUCUAGGCAUGUGCCAGGAUGUCAGACUUUCUGAUAGGCUUUUCUAGGUCAUAUCAACCAAAUGGGUGAAAUGCUUUGCUUUCUAAUGUCUGAACUCCAUACAGAUUCUUUGUUACUAUCAGUCCAUCAUUAGUCUUUUGAGAAAGCUGAGUUUUUAAAGACUAUUUCAAUGCCCUUGCCUUUGAGAAUCUACCUUGAGAAAUUCACUUAGCAGUAGCAACUCAUAGUGUUUGUUUUACUAAUAAAUAUUCUAUAGAAAAGAAAGAAAACAUGGCAAAAGUCUGAGAGAAAUAUAAAGGAACGUAUCUGUUGUCUCACAUGAUAGUCUACCAUCUGACAGUCUAUCCUGUUAAACCCAAGAAGCAAAGGCAUGGAGAAAAUACCUACUCUUCCCCUCAGACAAAACCGUCUGGAGCACGCCCUGGGAGAGGCAUUCAGGCUGUUAUUCUAGUCCAAAGCAAUGAGAAAUAAAGAAUAAAGACAAAGGAAGCAUUUGAAGUGUAGUCAGUUGAUUUUAAAGAUGAACUAGAAAGCAAACCAAACAAACAGAACAUACAAGAGAAGAAAAGGCAGUCUGCAAACACUGACUGGCACUGGCACUGGCACAUCUGCUUCCAUGCAUUUUAGAUCCUAGAGGUCCUACUUUCAGUCCUCUAGAGCAUCUGUAGUCUACAACACCCUCACCACAUGAAGCUGCUCUGCUCUGCACAUAUCUGUACCAGCUCAAGGAACUCACACCCGAAGCUGGGACACACCCGCACAAUGGUUAGGGGGAGUUUUGUUUCCCACUGGAACAAUACACGGCCUAGUUAUUAAGUCAGUCUAUGGAAGUAACAGAUUUUAAAAUAACAUUUCGAAGUUAUUUUUAAGGGCCUAAGAAAAUACUGCAACAUUCCUGAGCAGCUCUGAAAUCUACAUUCUCUAGAUCUGAAGAGCACAC